rnacentral:lncRNA from 1 species
AGCUAAUCUAUAUAUAAUUUUAUGCAAUAUCAAUUCACAUAAUUUAAAAUUAUGAGUAUAAUGCAUAACAAUUUAUGUAGAAUCUAAAAUUCGAAAAAUGUAAGGUUAGGGCAUGCAUUAUGGUGAAUGUUUAUGCUAUCAGGGCUGCGAAAAUAUAGAGAUAAAAACUGUUGUUUUGGAAGAACCUGAUUGCAUGAUGAUAUUGGUGAACUGGUUUGAUGCAGAAAAUUCUUUCUUCAAUUUCGGCUUUCCACCUUCAAAGCUUGUAUCACGUUCUACACAAGGAAAAUAAAUUGAAUCAAUAAAAGCAUAUGAAUUCAAUAAAAUCAAAAUUUAAUCAAUUAAAAAUAAUUGAAACGUAAUACUCUCCUGAUUGAAGACAAAUAAAUUCUCUUUAGCAAAGUGUGAAGAGCGUGCUGAUAACGUGUUGUGACCUAUAUUUAAUUGAGGGGUGUGGCAUGGAGAGAAAGAGGGUGGAGAAUAGACUUGAGGAAUUGUGUGUCAAUUUCUCAGUCCUCGUGCCUUUAUUUAUAGUAAUAAGGAAAAGAGAAACUUGUUAUCCAAGUAAUACAAAAUCUAUUAGGAAAGAUCUUCUAGAUCCCAAAGUAUUCCUAAUCUAUCUCUACUUAAGAUUUACACAAUGACAUGUAUUAGAACAUAUGUCACAACACCUCAAAUAUUUUUGUUUGCUUAACUUCUUUUUUUAAUCUUUUUAUAAAUAAUAUGUCUAUUGGUUAUCAUAUAUAUAUA